GACGAACGCUGGCGGCGUGCCUAAUACAUGCAAGUCGAGCGAAGUUUUUCUGGUGCUUGCACUAGAAAAACUUAGCGGCGAACGGGUGAGUCACACGUAAAGAACCUGCCUCAUAGACUGGGACAACUAUUGGAAACGAUAGCUAAUACCGUAUAACAGUAUUUCUCGCAUGUGAGAUAUUUAAAAGUUGUUUAUGCUAACACUAUGAUAUGUCUUUGCGGUGCAUUAGCUAGUUGGUGGGGUAAAGGCCCACCAAGGCGACGAUGCAUAGCCGACCUGAGAGGGUGAUCGGCCACACUGGGACUGAGACACGGCCCAGACUCCUACGGGAGGCAGCAGUAGGGAAUCUUCCGCAAUGGGCGAAAGCCUGACGGAGCAACGCCGCGUGAGUGAAGAAGGAUUUCGGUUCGUAAAGCUCUGUUGUUAGGGAAGAAUGGAUAUGUAGUAACUAUACAUGUAAGAGACGGUACCUAACCAGAAAGCCACGGCUAACUACGUG
rnacentral:rRNA from 1 species